AUUGAACGCUGGCGGCAGGCUUAACACAUGCAAGUCGAGCGGGGUGAUGGUGCUUGCACUAUCACUUAGCGGCGGACGGGUGAGUAAUGCUUAGGAAUCUGCCUAUUAGUGGGGGACAACAUCUCGAAAGGGAUGCUAAUACCGCAUACGUCCUACGGGAGAAAGCAGGGGAUCACUUGUGACCUUGCGCUAAUAGAUGAGCCUAAGUCGGAUUAGCUAGUUGGUGGGGUAAAGGCCUACCAAGGCGACGAUCUGUAGCGGGUCUGAGAGGAUGAUCCGCAACACUGGGACUGAGACACGGCCCAGACUCCUACGGGAGGCAGCAGUGGGGAAUAUUGGACAGUGGGGGGAACCCUGAUCCAGCCAUGCCGCGUGUGUGAAGAAGGCCUUAUGGUUGUAAAGCACUUUAAGCGAGGAGGAGGCUCUUUUGGUUAAUACCCAAGAUGAGUGGACGUUACUCGCAGAAUAAGCACCGGCUAACUCUGUGCCAGCCGCCGCAGUAA
rnacentral:rRNA from 1 species